rnacentral:rRNA from 1 species
CCUACGGGUUGCAGCAGUGGGGAAUAUUGCACGAUGGGCGCAAGCCUGAUGCAGCCAUGCCGCGUGUAUGAAGAGGGCCUUCGGGUUGUAAAGUACUUUCAGCGGGGAGGAAGGCGAUAAGGUUAAUAACCUUGUCGAUUGACGUUACCCGCAGAAGAAGCACCGGCUAACUCCGUGCCAGCAGCCGCGGUAAUACGGAGGGUGCAAGCGUUAAUCGGAAUUACUGGGCGUAAAGCGCACGCAGGCGGUCUGUCAAGUCGGAUGUGAAAUCCCCGGGCUCAACCUGGGAACUGCAUUUGAAACUGGCAAGCUAGAGUCUCGUAGAGGGGGGUAGAAUUCCAGGUGUAGCGGUGAAAUGCGUAGAGAUCUGGAGGAAUACCGGUGGCGAAGGCGGCCCCCUGGACGAAGACUGACGCUCAGGUGCGAAAGCGUGGGGAGCAAACAGGAUUAGAUACCCGGGUAGUC